rnacentral:tRNA from 1 species
UUACUCUGCAACCUUUGCCAAACCAAAUAUUGGAAGUCGAUGAAACCCCGUGUUUUGGCAUAGAUAUAAUAUC